rnacentral:rRNA from 1 species
UACGGAGGAUCCAAGCGUUAUCCGGAAUCAUUGGGUUUAAAGGGUCCGUAGGUGGAUAAUUAAGUCAGAGGUGAAAGUCUGCAGCUCAACUGUAGAAUUGCCUUUGAUACUGGUUAUCUUGAAUUAUUGUGAAGUGGUUAGAAUAUGUAGUGUAGCGGUGAAAUGCAUAGAUAUUACAUAGAAUACCAAUUGCGAAGGCAGAUCACUAACAAUAUAUUGACACUGAUGGACGAAAGCGUGGGGAGCGAACAGG